AGGGAAGGAGGCCAAUACUACAAGGGUUAUCUCCCCACCUCAGAUGCUGGAUAAGUUGAAGGAGGCAGACUCGCUUCUGGAUGACAUUCAGAAAGGCUGGGGCGAUUAUUUGGAAGAGAAAACCCUGCCUCUGUUUUCAAAGGUAAACUGUUUCAUCUCUCAGUC
rnacentral:lncRNA from 1 species